UACGGGGGGAGCAAGCGUUGUUCGGAUUUACUGGGCGUAAAGGGCGCGUAGGCGGCCACCGCAAGUCGACUGUGAAAUCUCCGGGCUUAACCCGGAAAGGUCAGCCGAUACUGCGGGGCUAGAGUGCAGAAGGGGCAACUGGAAUUCUCGGUGUAGCGGUGAAAUGCGUAGAUAUCGAGAGGAACACCUGUGGCGAAAGCGGCUCACUGGACCACAACUGACGCUGAGGCGCGAAAGCUAGGGGAGCAAACAGG
rnacentral:rRNA from 1 species